ACGAGCAGCUGCACCUCGUCGGGGUCUGUGGCCAUCUUGACGUCAGACAGAGCCUUGGCCCAGGCGGACGAACUCACCAACCACAGGAAGGAGAACACUACCGUCACAAUGAAGUCCUGGUGGUCAUAGGUCACAGAGGACUGUGGCGGACUCACGAUAAGGGGCCCUCGGUUGUUAUCGCAGUACUUGUUGUGGUAGAAGAUGUACACGACGGUGGCCAUGAGGGAGUAGAGGAAGGCGAAGACCGAUAUGGUGACGAAGAACUCGGCAGAGGAGGAGUAGUCUCCAGAGAGGAAAAGGCGCUCACUCCUCAUUUCUUCGCACAGCGGGGCUUCAAAGGACACCUGGUGCAGCCUGACACACACAGAGGAGGUCCAGGGGGUCGAGGUCAAGCAGUUUCCACGCCACCGUAUGUCAUCGGAAUUCAAACGCAAUCCGGAUACCUCGAUAUGGACUAUUUGUAUCGGUUGAAGGUACAAUAAGUAGCAUGGAUAUUGUCUAUUUAAAAAAUAUCAAGGCUCAAAAUCCAUAUGGAAUAUGGAAUAGUAAAGAAAGAAGAUUGGAUUGGCUUUAAAAGGAGUAACACUUGGGCGAAAGGCGCUGUUAAGUGUUCAAUUCAUGUUGUGCUUUUUCAAGUAAGGUAUCAUCGUUAAAACUUGUCUAAAGUUCAACACGAACGCUUACCUGAAAGGAUAGGAGAAGUCUAUGGCGAUGCUGAGGUUGCUGCUGGCCUUCUCCAUGCAGUCAACACUAACCCUCAGCUGCCCGGUGUAGCCACCGCAUGUGGCAAACGCAAAAAUGGCAAAGAGCUGUAUGGACACAGAAGCAAGCAUUACUUUGGUUACUGUCAAAACACAGUUAGGCAGUUCAUACUCUUUUUCUCAAAGCGACAAUGACAAGAUACUUUACAGGUGAUAGUUGCUAUAAGAACUCCCUCUAUCAUUCUCUCUGCCUGUGAAAAGCUACAGACAUUGUUGACAGGGGCCUCAUGCGAGAGCAUCCACUUUAAUGAAUUGCAUUAGUGUAGCCUUCAGAGCAGAACUGACGGUUGCACGGAGGUGAAGUAAGCAUAUUGAGUCUCUCUCUCUAUUUCUCUCCCUCAAUCUGAUUACCAUCCGCAUCAUGAGUCUGACUCGAUGCUCCAUUAUCAAGCCAUAAUCUGCAGCAUUGGUACCAUUCCAUACAGAGUAAGCAAUGCAAAACAUGGCAGGAUACCUGUAGCAUUGUUUUAGUCCACAUUGUUUUUUUCUUUUUAAUUGGGGAAUACAUAUCUGAGGUACUUGAUGGUGUUAGAUGAUUCCAAAAUAACGCAAUAAUUAUAUUUGAGGACUUUGAUGGCUUAAUAAAAUAGUCCAUUAGUCCCUGCAUCAAUAAGAUUAGAGAGCCAUUAAGCCAACCAAAUAGUUUCUGAAUGUCUACAAUGCAUCCACAUGUAAACACAUUUCCCCCCUCCAGGAUUAUGGCUCCAAUCACAGAUCUGUGUUAAGUGUUAAGAUAGGAUCACCACAUCAGCUCCGAGCCCAUCUGCUCAUCGAGCUCAGUUAACCUGGUCUGUCCAGUUAUGGAUAAAGGUAUCGAUGGAACAUCAGUUAAUCUUGCAUUGAGAACCAAUUCAACUAAUUCCUCUGUAAUUCACAGGAAUCCGAGGGUCACUAUAAAUUAACUUUGGGAUAGGUUAAAGGGACAUUGCAUGCAAUAGUACAACAUAAUGACAACAUAUUUGAUGACAAGUCAAGCUCCAAUACAACUGACUGCAUUGUGUUUGGUAGCUCUUUGAUUGGCAGGUUAGUUAAAAAUAGUUAUGAGGUUAGUCAUUGUUUUUGUUCACACCAAUUUCAUAUUGUUUUUGUUUGGGAUGUCCAUUGCCCAGGAUACCAAAACACUUGGACAAAUGGUCUCUCAUUCUAACUAAUCAAAUGAAUGAGGUUUCAGCUGUGUUUCCCAAUACAUAUCCGUUGACAUCGUUCUGACCACGAGUCCCAUCUUGACAAUGGAACAAUGACAGAGUCAUGGUCUGAAAUGGUGUUCAUAUUAGCCAGACAACAAACAUUCAUGAGAGACAUCCUUUUGCCAGUAGUUGAUUCUGACUUCUCCACCACAUUUACAAAAAUCUCCUCAUUGAUCCUGUGUACUCAAACCGCUAGUAGAAUCAUAUUAGUGGUGAGGUCCUAAAACAACAUGUAAUGCAUGGUAUCAAUAUGGUUUCAUCAUAUUCAGGGCAGAGCUAUCGCCUUGUCUAGGCAGCUGAGCUGUGUUACAAACCAUUAUUCAGCUAGAUGUAGGUUUUCCAGCAUUCAAUAAACAAAGGAUCCAUUUGACCAAAUAUUUA